UUUCAAAAGAAAGGCAGCUGCCUGUCCCGGGACAGGUGAAAAAUGUUGUGUAACUCGUCCUGCAUCGGGCAGCAUCGUUCACACAAGCGCGGAGCUCAGAACCUCCCAGAACCACGGGAGAAUCAAAUUCAUAGCUUGGGACUCGCUGAAUUAAACAGAGAACAUCCACCCCAUUAGUUGGGAUGGAAUAACAAGGAGACAACUUGUGAGUUCUUCACGGAAAUCCAGGCAUAAACUACUUGCGGCCGUGAGUUGAAUGUGACCGUGGCUUGUCCAACCGGUUGCAUUUGGUUUCAGCAGAAAGGCCGCUGUCUGUUCUGAGGAAUGUGCGGGUUGGAAUCCGUCCUGUGGACAGGCAGCUGCUUGCACACAGACUCUGAGUCUCACUGAGAAACAAUUCCACCUCCCAAGUCACUCAAUGAUGCCUUACCUGACUGGGUGAAAUGAAGUAAGAAGGACAUGGCUUUUAUAUCUACGCAGAGACAAAGCAUUCUAGGGGAUUUAAGAUUAUUGGAUGCAGGAGGAGCUCUGCUCCGCCGGGAUAAAAGUGUAAACAAGAAGAAGAAGAUCGCCCAUCGUCCGUCGGAUUCAGAAUGGACACAGAUCUGAACUCUGCAAUCACCGCCUUCUUGUCAAACUGUGAGGAUCACCAGCUAUUCCGGUUGACCAGAUUAUACCGGGAACGACUGGAGCAGGCGAUUGAAGAGGUUGUGGAGGGACUCGGCUCAUGUUAACAGGGGCGGAUCACUUCACUGGGUUGGAGUAUCACAGUGUGACUGAGCAAUGACUGGGAAACCGAGGGAGCUCUUCCAAACUCCUCCUGGAUCUGGUGAUGGAGAAGGGCUCCGGGGCCCGAAGGGUGAUGUGGGAAUCCUUUGUGAAAAUACGUCACACGUUACCGAAGCUGAGCAGAAUAUUGGAAGAAAUAAGGGACUGUGGUGAUGGUCAGUUCGCCUACAUGGACAUAGAGCGGGGUUUAUCUGAAGCGCCUACUCUCCUGAAAGAAGUUCAGCGGAAACACAAGGAGACUCUGAGGGCACAAACCGAAACACUGAGAGUGAACACGAUCCUGAUGAGGGAGAAGGUGAAGGUUUUCCAUCUGGUUGAUCGAUACGCUGAGCUCACGGUCAUUUCUACCGUUCGAGAGAGGAGACUUGUCUCACAAGAGCUGUUGGCAAGAGGCCGGGACCACGAGGAGUGGAGAGAGAAACAUCUCCGGGAAGAGCUGUAGAACAUCCGGAUUGAUCAAAUUUUCAAGAGAAGUUUUCUGAAGAUAUUGACGGAAUCUUUCUUUGGGAAGAAAUCAGGGAGUUCGGCAGCAGUGGCCGGAGUCCCGGGGAUCGGGAAACAACAAUGGUGCAAAAGAUUGUUUAUGACUCGGCCACGGGGAAGAUAUACCAACACUUCCAAUUUGUCUUCAGUUUCAAAUUCCGGGAUUUAAACUCUAUGAACUGUAGAAUAAUUCUGAGGGAAUUAAUUCUAGAUUAGUUUCCUUACUUUUGUAACAUCCUGGCAGAGGUCUGGAAGAAUCCUGAGGGAUUGCAUUUCUAUUCGAUGGUUUAGAUGAAUUCAAGCACAAAAUUGAUUUUGCUGACAGUCGGAGAGACACAGAACCGCAGCACAUGUGCCCAGAUCCCGAGUGGUGGUGUGAAGUGUCUGACAUUGUGUACAGUUUAAUCCAGCACAAGCUGCUCCCAGGGUGUUCAAUGCUGGUGACCACCCGUCCAACUGCGUUACAUUUAUUGGAAAAGGCGGAGAUCAGUGUCUGGGCUAAAAUACCUGGGAUUUGUUGGUGAGGAACGGAAGGAAUAUUUCCACAGGUUUUUUGAAGAUCAGACUGUGGCAGCAGCUGUUUUCAAACACGUGGAGGAGAACGAGAACUUGUACGCUAUGAGCUAAACCCCUCCUACUGAUGGAUCCUCGGUCUGGCACUGGGACCCUUCUUCACACAAAGACACAGGGACCUGCAGCGAGUUCCCAAGACCAUCACCCAACUAUAUUCCUAAAAACCACCGUCGUGAGAUUGAAAGCUCCCGUGAUGUGUUACUGAGGGUUGGUCAAAUGGCCUUCACAGGACUGGCCGAGAAGAAGAUUGUAUUUACAGAUGGAGAUUUGAUGAAGUACAAUCUGCAGCUUUCCCAGUUCCUGUCCGGGUUCCUAAUGGAACUUUUGGAGAGAGGGGAUUGUGCCCGGAGCGUGGUGUACAUAUACCCACACCUCACCAUCCAAGAGUUUGUAGCUGCACUCUCACAAUUUCUUACUCCGCACCCCGAGGAUAUCGUAAAACUCCUUACCGAAGCCCACAGCACGACAGACGGGCAAUUUGAGGUAUUUCUCCGCUUUGUUGUUGGUCUAUCCUCCCCAGGGUCAGCUCGGGGUCUGGAGGAGUUUCUGGGUCCAUUUCCUCAUCAAACAAUCGGCCGAGUGAUUGACUGGGUGAAGGAGGAGGUGAAACGUCAGGUUGGAAACACAAGGAAUGAAGCUGGUAAAAGGAGCUUCCUGAACACACUGCACUGUUUGAGUCUCAGAACCGUGGACUGGCUCAGGCCGCACUGGGAUCUGUGGAAACACUUUCAUUCAGUGGAUUGCGACUGACCCCGAUUGAUUGCGCCGUUCUGUCUCAUGUCAUUGGGCUCUGUGAUACAAUAAAACAGCUCAAUCUGUGGAGCUGCCACAUUCAGUGUGAAGGGCUCCAGCGGCUGGUACCCGGGCUGCACAAGUGCCUGGUGUUGGGACUGGGUAACAAUGACCUGGGAGAUUCGGGAGUGAAACUGGUGUCUGCGGCUCUGAGGGACCCGGAGUGUAAAAUCCAGAGACUGCGGUAAAUCCAGAAUGUGAGAGAUUGUGUUUACAGUCACUGGGUGUCUGACAUUGAACAUUAAUGUGGCUGGGGGAUGUCGGUCUCACAGAUUCUGGUGCCGAGAAUCUCGCCUCCGUUCUCAGUGCAAACAGCUGACUGACGGAUCUGGGCCUGAGUUACAGCAGCCUGGGAGAUUCGGGAGUGAAACUGGUGUCUGAGGCUCUGAGGAACCCAGAGUGUAAAAUAAAGAGACUGGGGCUUUGGGUGAACCUUCUCACAGAUUCAGGUGCCGAGUUUCUCGCCUCCGCGCUCAGUAUAAACCGCUCACUGACUGGGCUGGAGCUAGGAUUAAAUUCCCUCGCAGACCGAUCUGUACCCGCACUCCGCCGCCUCAUACUGACCCACCCGAGUCUGGAUCGGAUCAGGCUAUGGGGGAAUCAGUUCAGUUCAGAUGGACUGAAUCAGCUGAAGUCGCUGCAGGGAACCAGACCCGGACUGAGGGUGGACCUGUGAACGUCCCAAUGUACAGACAUCCACGUCCGCCGGAUGGGAAUAUUUUUUUCCCGGUUUCCCUCCAUUUCCUUUAACCGCGCGCUCCAAAUUGAAAUCCCAACGAUCGUAAUGUCCCAGCCGGAGGGCAACCUGACGCCAGGGGUAGACAUGCUUCCACGGAUAUCCGGCGAUUGGGGGAUUACACAGAGUGGUAUGUCCCAGGACAGUCUGGGAAACGAGUGAUCCCACUCAGUGUUCGGGGUGGGGCUGAUUCCGCAACACCAGUAAUGGCAUUCCGUGUCCGGGGUGCGGCUUGAGUCCGGAAUACAAGUGAUGGAAUUCAGUGUCCGGGGUGUCACUCAGUCUGGGACGCAAGUGAUGGCAUUCAGUAUCCCUGGUGGGGCUCACUCUGAGACACCAGUAAUGCCAUUGAGUGAAACGGGAGGGGAAUUAGCCGAGUUAGGAACCUUCCUGGACACGUUGCUGAGGGGGUAGCGGAGGAAUGUUUCCUCCAUUCAGCAGCCUGUGUAUGUAGUAGUGAUAAUUUGUAAAAUACCUCAGUAGAUAACCCUAGACCUGCAGCGUUCUCGGACACGGCCCUGAAGUGUGAUUUAUAAUCAUUGUGCUGUUAAUUUGAGUGAAGACAGAGAGCAUCCGGCAACUCCUUCUGGUGCGGAAUGACGCUGAUAAAAGGGGCUAUUUGUUCAACCUGCCGCUCAGUGUCGCUUGUCCAUUCAUUGUGCGCGAAGGGCACGGAAUUGUAAGCAGCUUAUUUUACCUGCACGUCAGAAAGUUACUCAGUGUUAAAUUUAUAAUCGCCAAA